rnacentral:misc_RNA from 1 species
GGCAUGUUCCUGAAGAGCACCAAUCCUCCAUUAUGAUGCGUCUCUCGUGUGGAGCUAUAGCUGGUUUAUUGGGUCAGACAUUUACAUACCCAUUGGACGUGGUUAGGAGGCAGAUGCAGGUAGAGCAUCUGCGACCUUCAUUGCAAGACAGAGCCAGAUAUAGGAGCACGUUUGAUGGGCUUUCUUCAAUUGUUCGUAAUCAAGGUUGGAGACAAUUGUUUGCAGGGCUUAGUGUUAAUUAUAUGAAGAUCGUCCCCUCAGUGGCAAUUGGUUUCACAGCAUAUGACACAAUGAAGGCGUACCUUAAUGUUCCUCCUCGGCAGAAAUUAAAAUCUGUAUCAGCUGCAUAAAUAUACACCCCCAAAUGGUGACAUCAACUUACAUACUUCUGUAUAGAAAUUAUGAUGAUCUUUGAUUACCAAGGGGGAAGAAUACGUACUCAAGGCGUGCACAAGUUCUCGCCAUGUGUGAGGUAUGGAGAGGGGUUGGACCACAUUGGGUAUAUUCUACAAUCCCCUACCUACAUAGAAUUUACUAUACAUCGCUUUCCUAGUCGUCUUUAUUCCUUCUAACUAGCUCAAUAUUGUAGUUCCUGAUGUGAAAGAAUUACAGUAUGCUCAAGAGUGUGCUUCUUACCUAAGUUGGAUAUUCUUACUUCUUGAAGAUAAAAGGUUCAAAAAAGGGUGUGUAGUGAAGGGAAAUGUCUUCUUGAAAAC